AUUUUGGGUACACCCGCCUAA
rnacentral:siRNA from 1 species